GCACUGAGUGGUGCCACCCGGGAUGGGGGGGGGGGUUUGACCUGUGCAAAGAGUCCGGGUGGCACCAGCCGGUGGCAAAGGGACUGGAGUGAUCGUCCCAGCACAGGGACCCCAGGGCCAGGGCUGAUCCCCCUCUUCCAUGGGGAAUGUGCCCCCCCACGACAGUGAACCUGACCGUGGAGGUAGAGCCUGUGCCCAGCAGGGACACGGAACCACAUCCCUGAGCCCAGUGCCCAGAGCUCCAACCACCACCAGCCAUGGGCAGUGGCUCCUGUGCAAGACUGGGACCCUCUGCCCGCAGUGCCCAGAGGACACCGGAUGGGCACAACGCGUCACCCCCACCAACACCAGCACCUGAGCCGCAGGUCCCUGGGUCCAGCAAGGUGGGAGCAGGGUGGGUGCUGCACUAUGAGACAUGGGGAGCAGGGCUGGUCCCCUGGGUGCUCGGUGGACAUGCAAGCCAUGGGGAGGGUGAGGAGGGCAGCUCCUGCCUCCUCCAGCAGUGCAGGGGCUGCAGUGGGGUGCGCAGGGGACACAAUAAUUACAGGGCUCAGACAGGCCUGGGGGGACAGAGCAGGAGCAGCUCCUGAUCAUCCCAGCUCGUCCCAACGCAUCCCGGGCCCGCUUCAACGCGACGGGAUCCUCCACCAGCGCCUCCCAGUGUGGAGCCACAGCUCCAGCCCCGCGGCCACCCGAGGCCAGGGCCUCACCCGCAGCCGAUCCCGGCCCCGGCUCCAGCGCUGCCGCUGCUCCGCGGGCCCGGACCCUGCACCCGGACAGGGGCUCACGCGUCCGACAAACAGCUCUGGAUGCGGUCGAUCCAUUGCUGUGCCCCCGGCACGUCCUGGGCACAGAAGUUGUAAACGCGCUUCGUGGUCUUCAGCUGCAAAGGAGGAGGAGGGAGGUGAGGGGGAUAUGGGGCACUGCACACUGCAGCCCAGCACAGAACAGCACCACACUCACAUCGAAGAAGGCUUUCUCAUCCACUGUCUUGGGAGCCCCCAUAGUGGGGGUCCCUGGGGUGAUGGACUCCACCUCAGCCAGGUCAAUGACUCCUUUGCAUUCCGUGUCCAUCCGGCUGUCGUAGUACCGCAGCUGCAGGGAGAUGGUCCGAGGGGUCAGAGCACACGGGAGGGAUGG
rnacentral:lncRNA from 14 species